UCGUUCAAGCCUGUAGCCAUUUCACACAGCCACUCAGAUGUUACAGUAUCAUGAAGGAAAAUGGUUGCCAGCAAGCAGUGUGGCCAGGUUAUCCAAGGAGACAACUGUCUCUGCUGCCCAGGGACCAGCUUUGGAAGCUUCCUUGUUGUCCAGAGCUGCUUCACUGAUUCACUGUACAGGCUGGCCUUCCCUGCAGCAGUCAGCAUUUAAAAAUUUGUCUUCAGCCCUGCUUGUCAGCAGUCAGCUUCAGUUGGAAAAAGUAAUUUCAUUUUCAUAUUUGCUCAUUUCAUUCAUUCACUCAAUCAACAGACCAUCAAUCUCCUAUCAUAUGCCAAGAACUGUGUUUGGUUCUGGAGAUGAAAAAAUAAGAUAAUGGUUCCUUCUAGCACUUGAAGAGCUUACAAACUAGUGAUAGAGGAAGAUGUACCAAUAACUCAAUAAAAAUAAUGCUUUGA